rnacentral:rRNA from 1 species
AUGCCGCGCACUAUGGGAGGGAUGGACCACACCGGCGGCGACGCCCGGGCCACUGGCGAGGGGUCGAGCGGGUGGCAGGGCCGGCUUGAUGUCCUCGCCACUGUCCUGGAUCUUCAUCUAGAGGAGGUGGCUCCUUCGCCAGUGCAAGUGAAUCUUCUGCCGCGGCUGCUGACUCCUCCAACCGAUCAUGUGGUCGAUGACGACGACGAAGGAGAAGAGGUUCUUCGGUCACAACAGGUGGCUCAUCAGCCGGAGCAGGUGGCUCCUCUGCCGCAGGCGGUUCGUCUUCUGCCACUGGAUCCUCUUGUGCCCGAGCCUGUGGUUGCCGUCGACGUCGACGAAGAUAUACUAUCUAAAGAUGUCGAUAGUGACGAAGAAGGCCAGAUGAUCUACAGGACGCGCAACGGGAGGGAGCUUGUCGGUGGUGUGCAUGUCAGACGUGUCAGUCCUAUUGCUGGGGGCUACGGAUGA